GGUUUUUCGAACUCCAGGCCAAUAAAAAUGUCGUAUGAUUUUCUCAUAGGUUUUGUUUAUUCCCAGAUGUCCUGAAAGGGGUGUUUCGUGUGCUAAACGUAAGACUUCUUCACGGUAAGGUUUUGGGAUAACAAUUUGGUAUCGAAUGACAAUAUGGUUAAUUAGGCUAUAUGUUAAAACUUAUCUGUCCGAGUGAGCAUUGCAACUUGAUAUAGCAACAGUUCAUAUUCAUAAUAAAUCAUAGUGACUAUAGUCCAGAAGAUAUCCAUGUUGUUUUCUUUCUACGUUAAUCAGCGCGUUAAAGCAGCUUCGUCUUCAGCCAUGGAAUACUCUUCCUUAAUCCUUCAUCAUUUCUCUAUUCUUAAUCAUAAUGCUAAUAAUCAUAACGUAAUCAAUAAUGUUCACUGAUGCGUGAAGCUACUUUUAUAGUGUUGGUCAGAGGAUGACUUUGCCAUCUUGACGCAUUUCCCAUACGCAAUGCUGCGGUCGUUGGUGCAAAGUUCUCUAACCACACUCAUGUCCGUUGACGUUAUUUGUGGACAAGGCGUUUACUCUAAUCUUUAGAACUAUUUGCUUACUCAUGCAUGUAAGCUAUAAUAUAAUAAUUAAGUAUGAGCUAUAGUAUAAUAUAAUAAUAGUAUAAUAAUAUUUAAUAUAUGUAAAAUUACAUGAUAAUAGCCAUCAUGUAACA